GCGGGGAUAGCUCAGUUGGGAGAGCGUCAGACUGAACAUCUGAAGGUCGUGUUCGAUCCACGCUCACCGCA
rnacentral:tRNA from 1 species